rnacentral:lncRNA from 1 species
CCGGCUUAGAGCAUCUGUGUACUAGCGUAGCAUUGAUCAAGAUGAAGUAAUAAUAAACCUCGAAGCAUCUGAUCGAUUUCUUUGCUGUAGUGAUCGACCAUCAGAUCGAGUAACAUGCAAGCAUGUGUACGGAAUUAAAAUGGGUUUUAAGUAUUGAUGGUGUUUAAUUAAUCCACAAGCAGAUCUGGUUGUAAUGCAUGGUGCAGUCGUGGUUUUUUUUUAUUUUCCCACCAUUGUUCGAUUUCGCCGGCCACCUUUUACAUUUAUAAAUAAUUUUUGGAUGAAUAUUUUGCAUACACAUCCACGUAGACGUAGUAGAUUUGGAUAAUCAAAAAUCUAACUGAACAUUUUUGUUGCUUUCAAUAUAUUUAGAUAAGGUCU